UACGUAGGGUGCACGCGUUAAUCGGAAUUACUGGGCGUAGAGCGUGCGCAGGCGGUUUUGUAAGUCUGUCGUGAAAGCCCCGGGCUCAACCUGGGAAUUGCGAUGGAGACUGCAAGGCUUGAAUCUGGCAGAGGGGGGUAGAAUUCCACGUGUAGCAGUGAAAUGCGUAGAGAUGUGGAGGAACACCGAUGGCGAAGGCAGCCCCCUGGGUCAAGAUUGACGCUCAUGCACGAAAGCGUGGGGAGCAAACAGG
rnacentral:rRNA from 1 species